CACAAGUUUGGGAGUGAGAUUCAUCCAAAAAUGUAUCCACAUCCAUUUGGAUGACAUGUCUGGGGGCUAGAGUCUGGGGAGUGAGAGACACUGGGCCUCUCUAUGCUGCUCUCAGUCCUGCCCUUCUGAGCUCUUGGACAGUGUCACUUGGGAACAGUCCCAGUUCCUGGCUGCAGGGAGGCUGGGCCCGCAGGAGUGACAGGAACCUCCUGGGGUGCACUCGGGGUUUGCGCUCCUCCCGGCCCGUUAGGGGCUC
rnacentral:lncRNA from 1 species